GAUGAACGCUGGCGGCGUGCCUAAUACAUGCAAGUCGAGCGAACAGAUGAGGAGCUUACUCCUCUGACGUUAGCGGCGGACGGGUGAGUAACACGUGGAUAACCUACCUAUAAGACUGGGAUAACUUCGGGAAACCGGAGCUAAUACCGGAUAAUAUAUUGAACCGCAUGGUUCAAUAGUGAAAGACGGUUUUGCUGUCACUUAUAGAUGGAUCCGCGCCGCAUUAGCUAGUUGGUAAGGUAACGGCUUACCAAGGCAACGAUGCGUAGCCGACCUGAGAGGGUGAUCGGCCACACUGGAACUGAGACACGGUCCAGACUCCUACGGGAGGCAGCAGUAGGGAAUCUUCCGCAAUGGGCGAAAGCCUGACGGAGCAACGCCGCGUGAGUGAUGAAGGUCUUCGGAUCGUAAAACUCUGUUAUUAGGGAAGAACAAAUGUGUAAGUAACUAUGCACGUCUUGACGGUACCUAAUCAGAAGGCCACGGCUAACUACGUG
rnacentral:rRNA from 1 species